UUCAAAGAUUCUACCGAAAAACUAAACACAUUCUUUCAAGGAGAUACUAAGGCUGGGAUCCACGCAAGUACUUAAGCACUUAAGUCUCAGGUUUGGCUCCACUGUGAUCCACAAAACUCCUGCCUAACCCUAUGAGCUGGUUCUUUGGUGGUUGCAAUGGUAGUUGCUCCGCACACGCAGAGCUAUAUAUCAAGAAUUUUGCAUUCCGUGAGCCACUAAAGGUUCUCUCAUUCAAGAUGCCGUUUGCUCUGUAUUUCUUACUUCAUUACUGCAGCUGAAGUUCUUAAACACAAUCCUACAGAAGAGGCAACAAGCACUGAGCUGAAACAAUGUCUUCUAAUGGUGAUAUUAUCUUACCAAGCUGACAUCACACAUUGCAGAUGUUUUACCACCACCAAGGAACCUCCUAAGAAGUUGAAACUUUCCAAAUGAAUUGCUUCAAGUGGAGACCAGGACAUUUUAAAAUUGUAUUUAUGAUCAAUGCAGAGUGAGCUGGAUUCCAUUUCCACACGUUGUCAAAAGAACUGUUAAUGAGAGUCACGCCAGUAUACAUCCACUGAAGGCUGUGGGAUUGUGCAGGGGUCACCGAGAGUCUAAUUCGACUUGCAGAACCAUAUCUGAGAGGGAAAGAAGCCUUUCUCACUGAGUCCUGAGGUUUGGUUUUCAGUUUUGGCCGUUAUACAAAAUGCAGUUUUACUCAGAAAUGGAGCACAUUUUAUCUGGAGAAAAAAAAAAGAGCACAAAUAUGGAAUCCCAUGGGACUGUGUGCCGGGCAGCUCUGCUGCUAGGGUGCCCUGCAGUCCAGAGUGCACAGAGGUGAGUGCCAAGGUGGAGAGACUCUCAAUUUUGCAGCUCUUCUGGACAUUCUCUUCAGCAGAGUGGUUGGCUGCAAGAGCUACUGCAAUCCUGAAGGGUCAGUAGUGCAGCCUCACCAUGGCAUCUUUACUGCUAGCACUGUGGAUUGGGCACUGGGAUUUCUUCCAGCUCAGUCCCUGUGGGAAUCCCUAGAGCACUUUGUGGUGGAUUGAGGACUGUGCUGGAGGUGGUGUGUGUAUGUGUGUGUGUGCAUGUUUUGUAUGGGGAAGGGGAAGAGCAUUCAGCAAUCAAUCUGGACACAGCCAACUUAAAGCAAGGUGGGGUGAACUGUGCUGCUUUGUUUUGGGAAGCAACCUGUUUCCUCUUUCUGUCUGGGUUUUUGUGUGUGUAUUCAUUCUGACUUCUAAGAAAUAAAGUAGAGUCACAUUGCAAACUUCCAGCAAGAGGAUUUAUAUUUUUUAACCAACUUCUCGAUGUGUAUGUUUUGAAUAUAACACAGUUGGGCUAAUAUACAGUGUUUCCAGGAGUUGUCCUAAAAUGCAGGCUUAUAAUUUGGGCAUCUAGAAGAGUAUGAAUGUCCGAUUUGGUAUCUGUCAGUAAUACUUUCUCACCUCUGUUUUACAUUGAAAAGAUUUUUUGUUCAUUAGAGAAUUUUUUUACUUUGCAGAUGAAAAAUGUAGAGGCUUGAAAUGAGUAAACUUGGAGUUUGGUGAUUAUUUGCAAUGAAAUUUGAAGUGAUGGAAAUG